CUGCAGUCGAGCGACUGAUUAGAAGCUUGCUUCUAUGACGUUAGCGGCGGACGGGUGAGUAACACGUGGGCAACCUGCCUGUAAGACUGGGAUAACUUCGGGAAACCGAAGCUAAUACCGGAUAGGAUCUUCUCCUUCAUGGGAGAUGAUUGAAAGAUGGUUUCGGCUAUCACUUACAGAUGGGCCCGCGGUGCAUUAGCUAGUUGGUGAGGUAACGGCUCACCAAGGCAACGAUGCAUAGCCGACCUGAGAGGGUGAUCGGCCACACUGGGACUGAGACACGGCCCAGACUCCUACGGGAGGCAGCAGUAGGGAAUCUUCCGCAAUGGACGAAAGUCUGACGGAGCAACGCCGCGUGAGUGAUGAAGGCUUUCGGGUCGUAAAACUCUGUUGUUAGGGAAGAACAAGUACAAGAGUAACUGCUUGUACCUUGACGGUACCUAACCAGAAAGCCACGGCUAACUACGUGCCAGCAGCCGCGGUAAUACGUAGGUGGCAAGCGUUAUCCGGAAUUAUUGGGCGUAAAGCGCGCGCAGGCGGUUUCUUAAGUCUGAUGUGAAAGCCCACGGCUCAACCGUGGAGGGUCAUUGGAAACUGGGGAACUUGAGUGCAGAAGAGAAAAGCGGAAUUC
rnacentral:rRNA from 1 species